rnacentral:rRNA from 1 species
AUUGAACGCUGGCGGAAUGCUUUACACAUGCAAGUCGAACGGCAGCACGGACUUCGGUCUGGUGGCGAGUGGCGAACGGGUGAGUAACAUAUCGGAACGUAUCCAAUAAUGGGGGAUAACUAAUCGAAAGGUUGGCUAAUACAGCAUACGCCCUACGAGGGAAAGCAGGGGAUCUUCGGACCUUGCGUUAAUGGAGCGGCUGAUAUCUGAUUAGCUAGUUGGUGAGGUAAAGGCUCACCAAGGCGACGAUCAGUAGCUGGUCUGAGAGGACGACCAGCCACACUGGAACUGAGACACGGUCCAGACUCCUACGGGAGGCAGCAGUGGGGAAUUUUGGACAAUGGGCGCAAGCCUGAUCCAGCCAUUCCGCGUGAGUGAAGAAGGCCUUCGGGUUGUAAAGCUCUUUCGCAAGGGAAGAAAACUUACUUUCUAAUAAAGAGUGAGGUUGACGGUACCUUGAUAAGAAGCACCGGCUAACUACGUGCCAGCCGCCGCCGUAA